rnacentral:rRNA from 1 species
GCCGUCUACUCUUGGCCAGCCUUCUGAAAGGAAGAUUAAUACAAGAUGGCAUCAUGAGUCCGCAUGUUCACAUGAUUAAAGGUAUUCCGGUAGACGAUGGGGAUGCGUUCCAUUAGAUAGUAGGCGGGGUAACGGCCCACCUAGUCUUCGAUGGAUAGGGGUUCUGAGAGGAAGGUCCCCCACAUUGGAACUGAGACACGGUUCAAACUCCUACGGGAGGCAGCAGUGAGGAAUAUUGGUCAAUGGGCGAGAGCCUGAACCAGCCAAGUAGCGUGAAGGAUGACUGCCCUAUGGGUUGUAAACUUCUUUUAUAAAGGAAUAAAGUCGGGUAUGGAUACCCGUUUGCAUGUACUUUAUGAAUAAGGAUCGGCUAACUCCGUGCCAGCAGCCGCGGUAAUACGGAGGAUCCGAGCGUUAUCCGGAUUUAUUGGGUUUAAAGGGAGCGUAGAUGGAUGUUUAAGUCAGUUGUGAAAGUUUGCGGCUCAACCGUAAAAUUGCAGUUGAUACNGGAUAUCUUGAGUACAGUAGAGGCAGG